UACGUAGGGUGCGAGCGUUGUCCGGAACUAUUGGGCGUAAAGAGCUCGUAGGCGGUGUGUCACGUCGUUCGUGAAAACCUGCAGCUUAACUGUGGGCGUGCGGUCGAUACGGGCAUCACUGGAGUUCGGCAGGGGAGACUGGAAUUCCUGGUGUAGCGGUGAAAUGCGCAGAUAUCAGGAGGAACACCGGUGGCGAAGGCGGUUCUCUGGGACGGUACUGACGCUGGAGACGCGAAAAGCCGUGGGGGAGCAAACAGG
rnacentral:rRNA from 1 species